rnacentral:rRNA from 1 species
UUCAGCAGCCUUAUCAACCUGCAGCUCACAACUACCAACCCACUGAAGCUAAGCAGGUGUGGGCCUGGUCAGUACCUGGAUGAGAAAACUCCUGGAAAAAACUAAGGUUCCUGCUGGAA